rnacentral:tRNA from 1 species
GAGGGUAUAGCUCAAGUGGUAGAGUGCAUCCUUAGUAUGCACGAGGUCCUGGGGUCAAUCCCCAGUACCUCCU